GAUGAACGCUGGCGGCGUGCCUAAUACAUGCAAGUCGAGCGAAGCGGGGACGGGUGAGUACCACGUGGCUACCCUCCUAUAAGUAUGGGAUAACUUCGGGGAACCGGAGCUAAAUCGGCUACUUAUUCAUGGUUCCUCGCUGCAUUAGCUAGUUGGUAAGGUAACGGCUUACCAAGGCAACGCUGCAUAGCCGACCUGUGAGGUUGAUCGGCCACACUGGAACUGAGACACGGUCCAGACUCCUACGGGAGGCAGCAGUAGGGAAUCUUCCGCAAUGGGCGAAAGCCUGACGGAGCCACGCCGCGUGGGUGAAGAAGGUCUUCGGAUCGUAAAACUCUGUUAUUAGGGAGGCGGUACCUACUCAGAAAGCACCGGCUAACUACGUGCCAGCCGCCGCGGUAAUAC
rnacentral:rRNA from 1 species